rnacentral:lncRNA from 1 species
AUUUGCUUGAACUAUGGAUUAUUUGGAUUUAGUUACCUAAUUUUCUAAAAUUUUGAUUUUACUAUCUAAUUUUUCAAUUUUUUUAAUUUGAGUUAGUCAACGAUAUUUUGAUUUCAAAAUUGAAGCUAAUUAUUACUUCAAUGAACUUAUAAUUAUGAAAAUUGUAUGAAAUAUACUAACUAAAUAUGUAAGAAAAUUAAAUGGAUAUUCAAAUUUUGAAGUCAAAAUGUCAUUGAUUAACUCAAAUCAAAUAAAAUUGAAAGGUUGGAUGGUAAAAUCAAAAUUUUGAAAAAUUGAAUAGUUAGAUUCAGAUAGUCUAUAAUUUAGAUAAGUUCUUACGUUUUUAC